rfam:Brugia pahangi genome assembly, scaffold: BPAG_contig0003995
GCACGGAUGGCCGAGUGGUCUAAGGCGCCAGACUCAAGCAAUAGUGUUUAUGCUUCACACGAGAAUCUCAAAGUGUGUCUGGGGUGUUCUGGUAUCGUUAUCGAUGCGUGGGUUCGAAUCCCACUCCGUGCA